UACGGAGGGUGCGAGCGUUGUCCGGAAUCACUGGGCGUAAAGGGCGCGUAGGCGGCUUCUCAAGCGUGUGGUGAAAGUCCGGGGCUCAACCCCGGAUCGGCCGUACGGACUGGGGAGCUCGAGUUCUGUAGAGGCGGGUGGAAUUCCGGGUGUAGCGGUGGAAUGCGUAGAGAUCCGGAAGAACACCGGUGGCGAAGGCGGCCCGCUGGGCAGAGACUGACGCUGAGGCGCGACAGCGUGGGGAGCAAACAGG
rnacentral:rRNA from 1 species